CAAAUUAGAGCUUGGUUAGUAAAGUUUUUUACUUACAUUAAAAAGAAGUCGUGCAAUUCGAUUUAAUUUGA
rnacentral:tRNA from 1 species